rnacentral:rRNA from 1 species
AUGUGUAUUCCAAAGGAGAGGAGAGGUAUGGGAUUCCGGGAUAUUCAUAGUUUUAAUGCAAUGUUGGCAAAACAGUGUUGGAGACUAAUUGAGAACUUUGGUUCCUUAUGUGCACGUGUUCUAAGAGCAAGGUACUACCCUACAGGAGACCUUUUGAACUGUCAAUUGAAGAAGGGGUCGUCUUAUGUGUGGCAAAGCAUUUGGUCUGGCAUUCAAACUUUUAAGAAGGGCUAUAUUUGGAGAGGCAAUGGAGACAAGAUUAAUAUAUGGGAUGAUUGCUGGAUCCCAAACAGUGCUUCCAAGAAAAUAUUGACAGUAAGGGGGAACCAAGUACUUACUAAAGUGAAUGAGUUGAUUGACCCAACUACAGGAGAAUGGGAUGAGAUGUUAAUCCGGGAGAACUUCUGGCAUAUCGAUGCAGAGCGCAUAUUACAAAUUCCGUUGUUUCAUGUGGAGACGGAAGACUAUGUUGCAUGGCACCUCACGAAGAGCGGAGUAUUUUCAGUGCGAUCUGCCUAUUACAAGCAAUGGGAAGUGAACUAUGAUACCGAGGGAAGCGGUCUGGCCAGCUAUUCCACGGCGCCCCACCCAGUCUGGAGGAAUUUGUGGAGUUUGAAAGUACCAGCAAAAGUUAAAAUUUUUAUCUGGAGAUGCUUGCACAAGGCCAUUCCAUGUCGGAGUACUCUGAUGAAUCGCCAUGUUGGGACUGUUUCCCAAUGCCCAUUUUGUCCAGAUGGGGCGGAGGACUUAUCUCAUAUGUUGUUCAAGUGUGCAAGAUCGCAGGCAGUAUGGGAGGCUCUGGGAAUCGCACCUGAUAUUACUUUCUCUAGAAUGACUGAUCGGUCAGGUUCGGCGGUCCUAGAUUUUAUUCUCUGCGAUGGUUCUUAUCGGUGA